ensembl:lncRNA
GGGAAAUCAAGUUGGGAGUCCGGUCCCCGAAGGGGGUUAGGGAUGUGGAAUAGGGUUAGGGUUAGGGUUAGGGUUAGGUGUUAGGAAAUGAGCAGGCCCGGCUAUGCCGGAACCUGAGUGCACGGGCCAUCAUUGGGACUGGUGUUGGUGCCCCCUGUUCAAAAAAUUACCCUUAAGCGGGUGUAGUGCACUGGGGUUGGGCCAUUCGCGACGUUUCGGCUUAAUUUAGCCUUCUUCAGGCUGGCCCACCCGCUCUUGUGUUCAAUUUCGCCACUCUGGGCCUUUUAUACUCCUGUUUUUCAUUCCUGUUUUUCUUAACUUUUUCUGUUUCUUAGUUUUUACUUGUUCUCAGUUUUUUCUGCUUCAGCUCUCCCUUUUUCUGUUGUUCUUUGUUCUUUCUGUUUUUCUUUACCUUUCUCUUUGUAUUUCUGUUUUUCUUUAUACUUGUUCUUUAUUCUUUGUUUUUCUUUACCUUUCUCUUUGUAUUUCUGUUUUUCCUUAUACUUGUUCUUUAUUCUUUGUUUUUCUUUACCUUUCUCUUUGUAUUUCUCUUUGUCUUUCUCUUUUUAUCUCUGUUGUUCUUUUUUCCUUUCUGUUGUUCUUUAUUAUUUCUCUUUAUUCCUCUUGUGUUCUUUUCUUUAUUCUUUCUUAUAUUUCUUUAAAUGGCACCCCCUUCUCAUUAGACAUCCCGUCCUUUGUACUGUAUUUUUCUUUUAUGGCACCCCCUUCCUGUAAAUCCUUUCCUUUUGUACUCUGUCUUUUUUCUGACCUUUCUUGUCUUUUUUCUCUUAAUUUAGGUUCUUAGGGCUCCCUUAAGAUUAGGGCUAGAAGGGGAAGGGGAGGGGGGCAAAGGGGUUAGGGUUAGGAAAAGGUAGUGGGUGGGGGGCUCCCCAUAGUUAGGGAGAGAGGCAAUAGGCAGGGGCACCACCAAUCCCAUGAGGCACUGGCUGGUUAGGUGUAGGAAAUGAGCAGGCCCGGCUAUGCCGGAACCUGAGUGCACGGGCCAUCAUGGGACUGGUGUUGGUGCCCCCUGUUCAAAAAAUUACCCUUAAGCGGGUGUAGUGCACUGUGGUGGGCCAUUCGCGACGUUUCGGCUUUUCUUAGCCUUCUUCAGGCUGGCCCACCCGCUUUUGUGUUCUGUUUCGCCACUCUGGGCCUUUUAUACUGUUCUUUUUCCUUUCUGUUUUUCUUAACUUUUUCUGGUUUCUUAUUUUUUUCUGUUCUCAGUUUUUUCUGCUUUAACUCUCCCUUUUCUAUCUUUUUCUGUUGUCCUUUGUUCUUUCUGUUUUUCCUUAUCUUUCUCUUUGUAUUUCUGUUUUUCUUUAUUCUUGUUCUUUAUUCUUUCUGUUUUUCCUUAUCUUUCUCUUUGUAUAUCUGUUGUUCUUUAUUCAUCCUGUUGUUCUUUAUUAUUUCUCUUUAUUCCUCUUGUGUUCUUUACUUUAUUCUUUCUUAUAUUUCUUUAAUGGCACCCCCUUCUCUUUCGACAUCCCGUCCUAUGAUCAGUAUUUUUCUCUUUUAUGGCACCCCCUUCCUGUAAAUCCUUUCUUUUUAUACUCUGUCCUUUUUUCUGACUUUUCUUGUCCUUUUUUCUCUUAGUUUAGGUUUUUAGGGGUCCCUGGGUUUGGG